rnacentral:misc_RNA from 1 species
UCUAUGGAGACGAUGUUGUGAUUAUAAAAUUAACUGUUUAGUUUUGAAGGAUUGAUAUAAUCUUUCUAAAUAAUGCACCUUGAAAACUGAAUACAAGAAAGAAGUAAGAGUCAAAAAAUCGAGAAACAAAAAUUUUGAAAUACCAAAAACUUCUAAAAAACAAAGUAGUAACGCUACAACAUUGAAGGUCAAGCAAGUAAGAGCAUAAGGCGAAUGCCUUGGCACUGGGAGCCGAUGAAGGACGUGAUAAGCUGCGAAAAGCUUCGGGGAGGCGCACAUAGCCAUUGAGCCGGAGAUAUC